rnacentral:rRNA from 1 species
AUUGAACGCUGGCGGCGUGCUUAACACAUGCAAGUCGAUCGGUAACAGGUGUAGCAAUACAUGCUGACGAGAGGCGGACGGGUGAGGAACGCUUGGGAAUCUGCCCAUCAGCGGGGGACAACCCGGGGAAACCCGGGCUAAUACCGCAUACGCUCCACGGAGGAAAGCCGGGGACCGCAAGGCCUGGCACUGAUGGAUGAGCCCAAGUCGGAUUAGCUAGUUGGCGGGGUAACGGCCCACCAAGGCGACGAUCCGUAGCUGGUCUGAGAGGACGAUCAGCCACACUGGGACUGAGACACGGCCCAGACUCCUACGGGAGGCAGCAGUGGGGAAUAUUGGACAAUGGGGGAAACCCUGAUCCAGCGACGCCGCGUGGGUGAAGAAGGCCUGCGGGUUGUAAAGCCCUUUCGGUAGGGACGAAAGCUCUCGACCUAACACGUCGGGAGGUUGACUUAACCUACAAAAGAAGCACCGGCUAACUCUGUGCCAGCAGCCGCAGUAAGAC